rnacentral:rRNA from 1 species
GCUCCAAUAGCGUAUAUUAAAGUUGUUGCGGUUAAAAAGCUCGUAGUUGGAUUUCUGUCGAGGGUGGCCGGUCCGCACUUUGUGCGUGCAUCUGGUUCAGCUUGGCAUCCUCUUGGGGAACGUAUCUGCGCUUAAUUGCGUGGUGCGGUAUCCAAGACUUUUUACUUUGAGGAAAUUAGAGUGUUCACGGCAGGCAAUCG